ACAUCCAGCGAACUUGGCAGAGAUGCCUUGGUGCCUUCGGGAACGCUGAGACAGGUGCUGCAUGGCUGUCGUCAGCUCGUGUUGUGAAAUGUUGGGUUAAGUCCCGCAACGAGCGCAACCCUUAUCCUUUGUUGCCAGCGAUUCGGUCGGGAACUCAAAGGAGACUGCCGGUGAUAAACCGGAGGAAGGUGGGGAUGACGUCAAGUCAUCAUGGCCCUUACGAGUAGGGCUACACACGUGCUACAAUGGCGCAUACAAAGAGAAGCGACCUCGCGAGAGCAAGCGGACCUCAUAAAGUGCGUCGUAGUCCGGAUCGGAGUCUGCAACUCGACUCCGUGAAGUCGGGAUCGCUAGUAAUCGUGGAUCAGAAUGCCACGGUGAAUACGUUCCCGGGCCUUGUACACACCGCCCGUCACACCAUGGGAGUGGGUUGCAAAAGAAGUAGGUAGCUUAACCUUCGGGAGGGCGCUUACCACUUUGUGAUUCAUGACUGGGGUGAAGUCGUAACAAGGUAGGCGUAGCGAG
rnacentral:rRNA from 1 species